rnacentral:lncRNA from 1 species
AUGAAGACACUGAAAUUUUGGGGACAGAUGUACAGACAUGGAGGGCCCAAUCCUCUGCAUGAGAACUUUGUGGUUCCUCCCACUACCUACUCUAUAUGUAGGAUUUGGGAUUGGGAAUCAUUUCAGCUCUCCUCAAUUCUUGAUUUUAUGAUUCCAAUGUCUUGGCGCACCUCAGAGGGUCCACUACAUUCAGCUCCAACUGGACAGUUUCUGUGAUACUAAAAAUGAAGAAAUGUGUUCCUUGUACCUUGAGGGCAGCUUCUUAUGGAAUGUGAGGCAGGAAGUCUCGAGAUGAUGGAUUAUACUUUCCCUCAAGUGCUGUGCACUUCUCUAUCCCUGGGGAAUAGGAGUGGAAACUUGGGGAAUGUGCUUUCCUGUUAAAGGAGGAAAAUUCUCUCUGUGUAUCUACGGCAAUCACUGACUCUUAGAGAAACAAACCUCAAGGAGAAAUUAUACAUUUGGUAAGUCCCUGAAGGGUUUGCAGAGGAUUGCUAGGAAGACAUAAUCAGGUAGACGAAAUUUGUUCCCUAAAACUCUACUUAGGAAAUUUGGGAUUGGUGUCCUGGCUGUAAGCAGAUUAUGGUAUGAGGGAUGAUGUCUACAGAUGUGAUCUUAGUAUUCUUUCUGACUAUGACCAAUCUCACUGGAGACUGACUCCUCAUUUUCUGAGUCACUGAAUUGACACACACACACACACACACACACACACACACACACACACACACACACACACACACUUGUCUUACUUCUUCACCAGGUGGCUUGAUCCAGUAUGUGUUCCAAGAAUGUUCUCACAUGUGCCUUAAUGAAACAUUGAUCUUGGGAAAUAAGACAAAUUAAAGGAAAAUUUGAAAGGACAAAUUGUUGUGAAACAACUUUUACUAGCCUAGCUUAUCUUUACCUAUUCCAAGGACAGUCCUUAGCACUUCAUCUUCCUCCUGUACCCUUACAACAAUUCAGUCUCUAUUCCAGCACUGCCCAAGUUUUAACAACACCUUGUACUCUGCAUCUGGUGUGGGUAGUUGGACAGCUCAGCUGGGCAUAGAGAAAAACUUUGUGUUCUACACCAACCUCUGUGCUCCUACCCUUUUGUAGAUACUGAUUUCCUUCCUUCCUUCCUUCUAUGCCCCCAUGAUUGACAGAUUACAUACACUUCUUACUCUGGGAUUCAUAUUGACCAUUUUUUUCACAAGUGCAAGAAGACUUAAAUUGAUACUGUAGUCAGAUGAUGGUUCUCCAACAUUGACUAUGGAAGAGCUGACACCUGUACUUGAUGACUACUUCUAUGGUGCAUUUUCCAAUGGUAUUUCCAUCAAAUUAUACCUCUAGCAUAUUCUUUCUGUCUUAUUCCAUGCAUUUCACGUGCUGUUGGUACUAUUGUGGUGUGACAUGAACAACAUAACUGAUAACAAGGCAUGGUGAUUCACAGCUUAAAUCCCAGGUCAUGAGAAGAAGAAGCUGAUGGAUUUCUGUGAUUUUGAAAAUAGAUUGUUCUACUUAGUGGGAUUACCUCCCAAAACAGUGGAAGAGAUUUAUUUUAUACAUUCUUUUUUUUUCCAGAGCUGAGUACCGAACCCAGAGCCUUGAGCUUGCUAGGCAAGUGCUCUACCACUGAGCUAAAUCCUCAACACUAUUUUAUACUUUCUUACAUCUCCCUUAGCAGUACAUUGACUUUACCAUUUCCAAAAAACAACCUCUCCAAUUUUUCCAGAUUUAUUCUUUGUAUAACCUGG